AGCGUUUAGAUGAAGAACUACAAUAACAAUUUUGCAAUAUUAUCAUGGUUAUAUGGAAAAGUUCAACAACUGUUCCAUCAUCAUUUAUAUGAACACAUCAUUUAACUGGAACCAAUGAUAGUCUUGUUAGUAUGGAAACAUGGCACAAACAUUAAUAUACUUGGAUACUCAAAUAAACCUCUAGAUACAUUCUAUGAAAAGCC
rnacentral:lncRNA from 1 species